GACGAACGCUGGCGGCGUGCUUAACACAUGCAAGUCGAACGGAAAGGCCCUGCUUGCAGGGUACUCGAGUGGCGAACGGGUGAGUAACACGUGGGUGAUCUGCCCUGCACUUCGGGAUAAGCCUGGGAAACUGGGUCUAAUACCGGAUAGGAGCCAUUUUUAGUGUGAUGGUUGGAAAGUUUUUUCGGUGUAGGAUGAGCUCGCGGCCUAUCAGCUUGUUGGUGGGGUAAUGGCCUACUAAGGCGGCGACGGGUAGCCGGCCUGAGAGGGUGGACGGCCACAGUGGGACUGAGAUACGGCCCAGACUCCUACGGGAGGCAGCAGUGGGGAAUAUUGCACAAUGGGCGCAAGCCUGAUGCAGCGACGCCGCGUGGGGGAUGACGGCCUUCGGGUUGUAAACUCCUUUCGCUAGGGACGAAGCUUUUUGCGACGGUACCUAGAUAAGAAGCACCGGCUAACUACGUG
rnacentral:rRNA from 1 species